CCUCCCCGAGCAGGGCUGGGGGAUUCCCCCCCCCCUUCCCCGGCUGCUGCAAUGCCUUCCCCUCCCGGGGACAGGGGGAGAAGGAGCCGCUCUGCGCCACGGAGUCCUUUGGCCGUUUCUUUUCGUUUUUAUUUUCCUCUUAAGAAAGCCGUUGUGUGGAUAGGGGCAUUGGCGAGGCAUAGGGGGUGCACACGGCUGAGAUGGGCCGCACCCCCCCCUGGAAGCGCCGGCCCCAAACCCAGACGUACCGGCCGAAGUGCACUGCCAGUUUUGGCACUGAUCUGGGGCAGCAACCCAUGGGGCAUAUCUGAGCUCAAGAGCCAUUUGAUCCUACCCACAAUGUCGGGGCUUUCAUGGUGGAGGGCUUUGCCCACGGAGAAUUGUGCUGCAGCUGGAUGUGUGCACUGCUGCCAGGUGGGGUGAAGAAGCAGCAGCAGAGAGAAGCAGCCAGUUCCUGGCACCAGCUCCCCUGAACCCAAAUUGGGCCAUUCCAGCCCACUGCUAGAAAAUGUUGUCCACUGCUGAUCUACAUCACCAUUUGCAAACCACCCCUGGACAAACACAGCCUUUUCAGAGAAACUGGAAAGCCACUGGAGCCACAAAGUCUAAGUCGUUUAAUAA